CCGACUGCACUUCUUUCCUACUCCAGCCGAAGCAUUCGCCUCAGCGCCACGGUGGCCAAGUACUCCCCCACCGCCGGCGCGUCCUUCUUCAAGGAGAACCUCGGCAGCGGCAGCGCGCUCGGGGAGGGCGAGUUCGAGAAGCCCGUCCCUGCGUACACCUGCGCCGCUGCCUCUCCCCUCUUCGGCAUCUCGCCGCCUUUCCUGCCCAUCCGGCGGUUUCCGCCGGCGGAGUCGGCUCUCUUGGUCGGCUUCGCCCACCGCUCGCGCUGCUUCCUGCCCUCCGGCGGAGGCCGGCGGUGGGAGACCGGACUGGGUUUCCGGCGGGGGGCGAGGGCGGGGAUGGGCGCUUCGAGGAAGUUAUGGGGUCGCAACACCCGGGUGGUCAUGGCGGUGGAUGGCAAGC
rnacentral:lncRNA from 1 species